rnacentral:lncRNA from 1 species
CACAAACAGACCUUGGUGUCCUGGAUCAGCUUCAGAGACACUGGGACCGCUUUGGGGCUGCCCUGAAGGCUCCAGAGGGUGGAGGGGAAGGGCAUGGUGCUUUUGCUAACACUCUCACGUCCCCUGGGAGCAGGUGGGUGGCCACCCUGAGGCCACUGCACGGGGGAAGGGACAGAGAGAGGUGGGGUGGGGGAGGCGGAGGGGAAGCUGCAACCAGCUCCCGUGGGGCAGGGGGUCGGCGGGGGUUUGUCCCUGCUGUGGGCACCUGGAGCGACACCUGUGGGGGCAGCUCCUCAUCUGACCUGCACUAACACUAAUCUUUAGUCAGCUCCAGGGACUCACCCACCCUGAAAGACCCCAUCCUCAACCCUAUCAAUAGCUCUAGUUGCAUUUCCGGCAAAAUCUGCAAGAGCUCGGUUCUUUGUCUAACCCUCCAGGGAAACAAACAGUUCACCUCCCCUGGAAUGUCCUCAUCCCCUUCCCGGGGUCCCAACACCCUCCCCAGCCCCCACCCUACUCCAUCUCAGGCUGGCUGCCUCUGACCCUAAAAGUCCAAUUCUGUUUGUCUGCCGGGUUGGGGCACUCAUCUGUGGCCCAGCCAGGCAGAAAGACAGAGAACCGGGGGAAACUCCCGUCUACAUGAAUCAUGGGGCAGAACCUGGGGAUUUAUCCA